GACUGUGCAAGGUAGCAUAAUCAUUAGUUUUUUAAUUGAAGACUUGAAUAAAUGGUUAAAUGAGAUAUUUAUUGUUUCUUUAUAUUUUUUAUUUAAUUUUAUAUUUUAGUUAAAAAGCUAAAAUUUUUAUUAAAGACGAGAAGACCCUAUAAAGCUUUAUAUUUUUAAAAAGAUUUUUAAUAAAAUAAUUUAAAAGAUUUUAUUUAAAAAUAUUUUAUUGGGGUGAUAAAAAAAUUUAAUAAACUUUUUUUUUAUUUUCAUUUAUUAGUGUUAUAAAAUUUAUUUUUUAAAAAUAAUUAUUUUUGAUCCUUUAUUUAUGAUUAAAAGUUUAAGUUACUUUAGGGAUAACAGCGUAAUUUUUUUGGAGAGUUCAAAUUUAUAAAAAAGAUUGCGACCUCGAUGUUGGACUAAGAGUAAAUUUUAGGUGUAGAAGUUUAAAAUUUUAAGUCUGUUCGACUUUUUAUUCUUACGUGAUCUGAGUUCAAACCGGUGUAAGCCAGG
rnacentral:rRNA from 1 species